rnacentral:rRNA from 1 species
UACGUAGGGUGCGAGCGUUAAUCGGAAUUACUGGGCGUAAAGCGUGCGCAGGCGGUUUUGUAAGACAGGCGUGAAAUCCCCGGGCUCAACCUGGGAAUGGCGCUUGUGACUGCAAAGCUGGAGUGCGGCAGAGGGGGAUGGAAUUCCGCGGUGUAGCAGUGAAAUGCGUAGAUAUGCGGAGGAACACCGAUGGCGAAGGCAAUCCCCUGGGCCUGCACUGACGCUCAUGCACGAAAGCGUGGGGAGCAAACAG